AACGAACGCUGGCGGCGCGCCUAAUACAUGCAAGUCGAGCGAGAAGGUGUAGCAAUACACUUGUAAAGCGGCGAACGGGUGAGGAAUACAUGGGUAAUCUACCAUCGAGUGGGGAAUAACCAACCGAAAGGUUGGCUAAUACCGCGUACGCCUCCGGAUCUUCGGGUUCGGAGGGAAAGCUGCACUGUGAGUGUAGCGCUCUUUGAUGAGCUCAUGUCCUAUCAGCUUGUUGGUAGGGUAACGGCCUACCAAGGCUUUGACGGGUAGCUGGUCUGAGAGGACGAUCAGCCACACUGGCACUGCGACACGGGGCCAGACUCCUACGGGAGGCAGCAGUAAGGAAUAUUGCGCAAUGGGCGAAAGCCUGACGCAGCGACGCCGCGUGGGGGAUGAAGGUCUUCGGAUUGUAAACCCCUUUCGGAGGGAAGAUGGAACGAGCAAUCGUUCGGACGGUACCUCCAGAAGCAGCCACGGCCAACUUCGUGCCAGCAGCCG
rnacentral:rRNA from 1 species